UACGUAGGGCGCAAGCGUUGUCCGGAAUUAUUGGGCGUAAAGAGCUCGUAGGCGGUUUGUCGCGUCUGUCGUGAAAGCCCACGGCUUAACCGUGGGUCUGCGGUGGAUACGGGCAGACUAGAGGCAGGUAGGGGAGAAUGGAAUUCCUGGUGUAGCGGUGAAAUGCGCAGAUAUCAGGAGGAACACCGAUGGCGAAGGCAGGUCUCUGGGCCGAUACUGACGCUGAGGAGCGAAAGCGUGGGGAGCGAACAGG
rnacentral:rRNA from 1 species